GACAUAUAUGCUUUAUUACCAAAGAGUAUUGAUAAAGGCUGGCAGCUAAUCAUUUUUGGGCUGCAAUCAAUAGCAUGAUCUUUUGAUUUAGUUCAAUGAACCAACCAUAUAGCUAAGCCAUUUUGACUAGAGAGCAUGACUCUUGAUAGAAAGUUCUCUCAAAAAAGGAUAAAAAAAGGCAAAAAAUCCCUUCACAGGCUUCAUCUAUAGUUGUCAGCUUGAUAUCAGCAUCUGCCUACUUGCAUGUGCUAUAUGUUGGAGUAAGCUGCAUAAAAAAACCAGGUGUUAAUCAGAUCAUAAAAUCUAUGAUACGGUUGUAUCACUUAGAGUGGAAUUUUCUCCCAUUUUAGACUAGUUCUUCUAAUUUGUUAAGAGGACAAUUUAGUAGCACUUCCUUCUCCUAUUGCUUGACUACAAAUGGUCUCUCAUCUAGCCACAUACACUUGCCACCUUGUCUGAUCAGCCUUGACCUCCUUUCAUCACCAUGGGUAUAGUAUAUAUUUUCGGAUCAAUGGUCAUAGAUCGCUCGCACCGCCGAUCUUUACAUUACCGGUACAUCUGUGCACCUUUUCUUAUUUCACCAUCUCAUAUACCUAACACUGCCAAAUUGAGAAUUAAUUGAAAGUGGCACAAGAUCAGGUGAGUUACAUGGCAUAAAUUCAUUUUCUGCCUAAUGGACACCAAAUGGCCUGUAACUUUGUUUAGAAAAAAGAGUCCUAAAAGAAAUCAUAUAUACAUCCUUGACGAAAACUUAGACGGUGGGUGAGCAUCGGAGGUAUUGAUAUUGUUUAAUGUUGAGUCUUAAAAGAAUGAACUUUGGUUGUUUUGGGAAAAAAAUUAUCCAAAGUAACAAGUCUAAAUACUGAUUCUUUAAUGUCAAGUCUUAAAACAUGUAGUUGGUUCUCUUUUUUAAGUAAAACUUGCAUUUAGUCAAUUGAUUUAAAUAUUGGAUUUAGUUGAGCAUAAAUUGGGUUGGGUCCAAACAAAAUUUACGUAUUCCAGUAGAACAAAAAAAAAAAAAAGCGUUUGCCCUUUCAUGGGAUAGGUAAUUAUCUGCAUGCAGCAUCCCUAGCGCAAAUUCAUAAAGAGUUAGUUUUCUAACAUCUCCCAGAAGUUGCUUUUCUGACUUAUAAACAAGCAAUACUCGCAAAUUCAAUACUUAAGGCUUACAAAAUUUGUUGAUUUCAAAGGUAUAAAAGGACUUUAUUAUGCCAUGCAACACAUAUAUAUAUAUAUCCUUAAGCCUAGUUUAAAAGGAACUAUAGAAGAAGAACCUGAAUAUUAGCAUAAAAGAAAUUAGUGGUGUAUACUACCUGUUUAUGUACAGAAAAUGGUCUUUACAGGAAAAAGAAAUUUGGAUAUAUGAUUUUAGAGGCUUCUAUUUUGAUUUCUCUACUCAUUGGUGGGGGCUCUUUUAAAGAAAAAUAAUUUUUAACUUAAUUUUUUGCUUAGCAGAAAUCAAUUAUUACAAACUAGUGUCCAACAAAGAUGAGAUAAAACACAAGCCAUCAUGAUUUAAAACAAGUAAUCUACUAUCUUCUUUGCCAAUGCAUGCAUGUUUCUUAUUUUUAACAACUCCAAAAGAUAAAAAGGAUGUGUAACUUAAAAUAAAAAGAACUAUGGUUAUCAGCCUGUUAAUUAGCAUGUUGGUCCACAUUCUGCAGCCCACAACGGACAACUACCCGCCCCCCUCAAAAAAAAAUGGUAGGUAGGAGUCACUGAAGAUAUCUCAAAAGAAAAGGCUAACAUUAUCUCCUAGCAAGAGUGAGUCUCAUAAUUGGUAUUGCUAUAAAGUGGUAAUAAAACAAAACAAAAUUUUGGCAUGUUGACAGAAACGGAUAGGAUGUUUGGUAAAGAGCC
rnacentral:lncRNA from 1 species